UACGUAGGGCGCAAGCGUUGUCCGGAAUUAUUGGGCGUAAAGAGCUCGUAGGCGGCUUGUCACGUCUGCUGUGAAAUCCCGGGGCUCAACCCCGGGCGUGCAGUGGAUACGGGCUGGCUAGAGGCAGGCAGGGGAGAACGGAAUUCCAGGUGUAGCGGUGAAAUGCGUAGAUAUCUGGAGGAACACCGGUGGCGAAGGCGGCAUCCUGGACCAUUACUGACGCUGAGUGAGCGAAAGCCAGGGGAGCAAACGGG
rnacentral:rRNA from 1 species